rnacentral:tRNA from 1 species
GUUGCCGUGGCCGAGUGGUUAGGGCGAUUGACUUGAAAUAUGUUGGGUUUCCCGAGCAGGUUCGAAUCCUGCCGACAACG